UCCUCCACUUGCAGCCAGAGGUGAGUUCCAGCCUCUCCUACGUUGACUUUCAUGUUUUCCAUGAUUUUCAUCAAAUCUUUCAAGAGUUUUAAGAGUUUUGGUGAUUUAUGAAGGUUUUGAGCAAAAGAACCAAGGUUUGAAGCUUGGAGCUUUGGAAGAGCUUUUCUUCAUAUCUCCACGUUAGGAUCCUUCAUCCUCAAGUUGUGUAAGAGGUAAGUGAAGAUCCUGAGCUUCUUUGAUGAUU
rnacentral:lncRNA from 1 species